GGUGGAUGAAGAAGGAAGUGUUAGAGAUGCAUGGGGUAAUAUUUAAACAAUACUUCUGGGUGGAUGAAGAAGGAAGUGUUAGAGAUGCAUGGGGUAAUGUUUAAAUAAUACUUCUGGGUAGAUGAAGAAGGAAGUGUUAGAGAUGCAUGGGGUAAUGUUUAAAUAAUACUUCUGGGUAGAUGAAGAAGGAAGUGUUAGAGAUGCACGGGGUAAUGUUUAAACAAUACUUCUGGGUGGAUGAAGAAGGAAGUGUUAGAGAUGCAUGGGGUAAUAUUUAAACAAUACUUCUGGGUGGAUGAAGAAGGAAGUGUUAGAGAUGCACGGGGUAAUAUUUAAACAAUACUUCUGGGUAGAUGAAGAAGGAAGUGUUAGAGAUGCACGGGGUAAUAUUUAAAUAAUACUUCUGGGUGGAUGAAGAAGGAAAUGUUAGAGAUGCACGGGGUAAUAUUUAAACAAUACUUCUGGGUAGAUGAAGAAGGAAGUGUUAGAGAUGCAUGGGGUAAUAUUUAAACAAUACUUCUGGGUGGAUGAGGAAGGAAGUGUUAGAGAUGCAUGGGGUAAUGUUUAAAUAAUACUUCUGGGUGGAUGCCUUUUAAAACAAAUUGAAAUUAUCUGUAUUUCCCACUUAAAGAUUUCCACCUUCAACUGUUCCUUCUGAUAAAACCGUCCAUAUCUAAUCACAUCCUUAUGUUAAUCAAUAAUUUCAUCCUUUCCCAGACACUCAGAUGGACCUCAGAAAACUUUUAAUUUCAUUUACCCUGAUCUCAACGUACACGGCAUUAUCCUGAUGAGUUUUAGUGCUGUAUUUUAAACUCAAAAGACAUUAUUGAUUUUGUACUAUAAUGUGAAAGUUCGCUUAGACUUACUUGUAUAUUUCUUUCUUUGCUCUUCCUUCCUUCCAGCAUCUUUGCCUCUCAUCUAAGGUGGAAAUGUCGGGGGAAAUGUGUACCAAACAAGGUAGCUCACGCCCACGCUCCAGUGAUAACACAGUCCCAUUGUUCAGAAGUGUUUUUAUUUGAGCGCUGGGAUCCUGUGGAACACGGCUGGAAAUCACCGGCCUGGCUGUACUUUAACUGUGAGUUAUCGUUAUAGGCUAACAACACCCAUUGCAGCUGCCCGUGAAGUCUUGACACAAUGCAUCAUGUAUCAGGCUGAAAUGAAAGAUUCGGUAAAUCCGCAAACCCUUCUGUUAACUUGAUGCUUCAUAUGUGGACAUCCAUUUUUGCUUCCCUAGACCUCAUCACUGGAGAAAGACAGGAGGAACAGGUGCGAGGAAAGCAGUGGGCCGGGGUCCUCAGCUGGGGGAACACUAGGUCCUAAAGACCCACAAUACCCCUUUCUUCCCCUGGCAUGGGCCCUGCAUCUCCUGGUGUUUUUCUUGGUGGUCUGAGAGCCAACCUCGCCACCACAGAUCUGCCCUGUCCAGGCCCCUCCAGUCCUGGCUCCCGUCAG
rnacentral:lncRNA from 13 species